GGGGCUGAUUCUGGAUUCGACGGGAUUUGCGAAACCCAAGGUGCAUGCCGAGGGGCGGUUGGCCUCGUAAAAAGCCGCAAAAAAUAGUCGCAAACGACGAAAACUACGCUUUAGCAGCUUAAUAACCUGCUUAGAGCCCUCUCUCCCUAGCCUCCGCUCUUAGGACGGGGAUCAAGAGAGGUCAAACCCAAAAGAGAUCGCGUGGAGGCCCUGCCUGGGGUUGAAGCGUUAAAACUUAAUCAGGCUAGUUUGUUAGUGGCGUGUCCGUCCGCAGCUGGCAAGCGAAUGUAAAGACUGACUAAGCAUGUAGUACCGAGGACGUAGGAAUUUCGGACGCGGGUUCAACUCCCGCCAGCUCCACCA
rnacentral:tmRNA from 2 species